UCCAGAGCUUUCUGAAUCCAGUGACCAGAUAUUCAUCAGGAUGACUGGAGAUGACCCAGGAUGAGGCAAGCAGGGUUGGGUCUGGUUAGUACUUGGAUGGGACCCUGCCUGGGAAUAUCGGGUGCUGUAA
rnacentral:rRNA from 1 species